AGAUUGAACGCUGGCGGCAGGCCUAACACAUGCAAGUCGAGCGGUAGAGAGGUGCUUGCAUCUCUUGAGAGCGGCGGACGGGUGAGUAAUGCCUAGGAAUCUGCCUAGUGGUGGGGGAUAACGUUCGGAAACGGACGCUAAUACCGCAUACGUCCUACGGGAGAAAGCGGGGGACCUUCGGGCCUCGCGCCAUUAGAUGAGCCUAGGUCGGAUUAGCUAGUUGGUGAGGUAAUGGCUCACCAAGGCGACGAUCCGUAACUGGUCUGGAGAGGAUGAUCAGUCACACUGGAACUGAGACACGGUCAGACCUCCGUACGGGAGCAGCGAGGUAGGGGAAUAGUUGGAACAAGUUCGGGGACGAAAGCCUUGACGUCC
rnacentral:rRNA from 1 species